rnacentral:lncRNA from 10 species
UUUUUUUUAAUUUUUAAUUUUUGUGAGUUUAUAGGUAUAUAUAUUUAUGACAUAUAUGGAAUAUUUUGAUACGGGUAAUCAGUGUAAUAAUUGCAUCAGGGUAGAUGAGAUAUUCAUUUCAAGCAUUUAUCUUUUGUGUUACAAACAAUCCAACUGUACUCUUAGUUAUUUUUAAAUGUACAGUUAAAUUAUUAUUGAACGUAGUCACUCUGUGGUGCUAUCAAUACUAGAUCUUAUUCAUUCUUUCUAUUAUUUUGUACCCAUUUACCAUCUCCCUUCCACCUCCCCCACUACUCUUCCCAGUCUCUGGUAACCAUCCUACUACUCUCUAUGUUCAUGAAUUCAAUUGUUUUGAUUAUUAGAUCCCACCAAUAAGUGGGAAUAUGUGAUGUUUGUCUUUCUGUGCCUGGCUUAUUUCACUUAACAUAAUGACCUCCAGUUCCAUUUAUGUUGUUGCAAAUGACAGGAUUUCAUUUUUUUUUAAUGGCUAAAUAAUACUCCUUUGUGUGUAUAUACCACAUUUUCUUCAUCCACUCAUCUGUUGAUGGACACUUGGCUUGCUUCCAAAUCUUGACUAUUGUGAAUAAUACUUCAAUAAACAUGGGAGUGCAGCUAUCUCUUCAAUAUACUGAUUUCUUUUGGGUAUAUGCACAGCAGUGGGAUUCCGGGAUCAUAUGGUAGCUCUAUUUUUAGUUUUUUUGAGGACCCUCCAAACAGUUCUCCAUAGUGGUUGUACUAAUUUGCAUUACCACCAACAGCAUAUGAAGAUGCUGUUUUCUCCACAUCCUUGCCAGCAUUUAUUAUUGCCUGUCUUUUGGCUAAAAGCCAUUUUAACUGGAUGAGAUGAUGUCUCAUUGUAGUUUUGAUUUGCAUUUCUCUGAUGGUCAGUGAUGCUGAACACCUCUUCAUAUCUGUUUGCCAUUUGUAUGUCUUCUUUUGAGAAAUGUCUAUUCAGAUCUUUUGCCCAUUUUUAAUUGGAUUAUUAAUUUUUUUCCUAUAGAGUUAUUUGAGCUCCCUAUACAUUCUGGUUAUUAAUCCCUUGUCAGAUGGGUAGCUUGCAAAUAUUUUCUCUCAUUCUGUGGGUUGUCUCUUCACUUUGUUGAUUAUUUCCUUUGCUGUGCAAAAGCUUUUUAACUUGAUGCUAUCCCAUUUGUAAAUUUUUACUUUGGUUGUCUGUGCCUAUGGGGUAUUAUUACCAAAGAAAUCUUUGCCCAGUCUGGUGUCCUAGAGAGUUUUCCCCAAUGUUUUCUUUUAGUAGUUUCAUAGGUCUUAGAUUUAAAUCUUUAAUCCAUUUUGAUUUGAGUUUUGUAUAUGAUGAGAGAUAGGGGGUCUAGUUUCAUUUUUCUGGAUGAAGAUAUAGAUAGAUAAUCCAGUUUUCCCGGAACCGUUUAUUGGUAUCUUUCUAUAGGUUUGGGAAGUUCUCUGUUAUGAUCUCUUUGAGUAAACUCUUUGAGUAAACUUUCGACCCAUUAUCUCUCCCUCUACCUCCUCUUUAAGGCCAAUAACUCUUUUUUUCUUUUUUGAGACAGAAUCUCACUCUGUCACCCAAGCUGGAGUGCAGUGGCACAGUCUUGCUCACUGCAACCUCCCAGGUUCAAGCAAUUCUCUUGCCUCAGCCUCCCAGGUAACUGAGAUUACAGGCACAAGCCACCACACUGGCUAAUAUUUUGUAUUUUUUAGUAGAGACAGGGUUUCCCCAUGUCGGCCAGGCUGGUCUCGAAUUCCUGACCUCAAGUAAUCCGCCCUCCUCUGCCACCCAAAGUGUUGGGAUUACAAGUGUGAGCCACCACAUCCAGCCUAAUAACUCUUAGAUUUACCUUUUUGAGGCUAUUUUCUAGAUUUUGUAGGCAUGCUUUAUUUUUUUCUAUUCUUUUUUCUUUUAUCUCCUCUGACUGUGUAUUUUCAAAUUGCUUGUCUUCAAGCUUAGUAAUUCUUUCUUCUGCUUGAUCAAUUCUGCUGGUAAGAGACUCUGAUGCAUUCCUCAGUAUGUCCAUUGCAGUUUUCAACCCCAGCAUUUCUACUUGAUUCUUUCUAAUUAUUUCA